rnacentral:rRNA from 1 species
CCUACGGGGGGCAGCAGUGGGGAAUAUUGCACAAUGGGCGCAAGCCUGAUGCAGCGACGCCGCGUGAGGGAUGACGGCCUUCGGGUUGUAAACCUCUGUUAGCAGGGAAGAAGAGAAAUUGACGGUACCUGCAGAGAAAGCGCCGGCUAACUACGUGCCAGCAGCCGCGGUAAUACGUAGGGCGCGAGCGUUGUCCGGAAUUAUUGGGCGUAAAGAGCUUGUAGGCGGUUUGUCGCGUCUGCUGUGAAAGGCCGGGGCUUAACUCCGUGUAUUGCAGUGGGUACGGGCAGACUAGAGUGCAGUAGGGGAGACUGGAACUCCUGGUGUAGCGGUGGAAUGCGCAGAUAUCAGGAAGAACACCGAUGGCGAAGGCAGGUCUCUGGGCUGUAACUGACGCUGAGGCUCGAAAGCGUGGGGAGCGAACAGGAUUAGAUACCCGUGUAGUC